AGUUUAAUUUGUUUUUUUUUGAAAAAAAAAAAAUGUAACAAGGUUU
rnacentral:rRNA from 1 species